rnacentral:rRNA from 1 species
UGUUGGGUUCCGACACACCACCUCGAACAUACAGACCUAGUCUGAUUCUAGAAGUUAACCAGGGCUGGACCUGGUUAAUAGUUGGAUGGGAGACCACAAGGGAAUCAAGGGAAAUGCCAUGU